GGGCCCGUAGCGCAGUCAGGAAGCGCGGCGGCCUUCUAAGCCGCAGGUCCCGGGUUCAAAUCCCGGCGGGCCCGCCA
rnacentral:tRNA from 2 species